rnacentral:rRNA from 1 species
GGCCGGUGGCGGCGUGCUUACACAUGCAGUCGACGCUGAAGCACCAGCUUGCUGGUGUGGAUGAGUGGCGAACGGGUGAGUAAUACGUGAGUAACCUGCCCUUGACUCUGGGAUAAGCCCGGGAAACUGGGUCUAAUACUGGAUGCUACAUGUCACCGCAUGGUGGUGUGUGGAAAGGGUUUACUGGUCUUGGAUGGGCUCACGGCCUAUCAGCUUGUUGGUGAGGUAAUGGCUCACCAAGGCGACGACGGGUAGCCGGCCUGAGAGGGUGACCGGCCACACUGGGACUGAGACACGGCCCAGACUCCUACGGGAGGCAGCAGUGGGGAAUAUUGCACAAUGGGCGAAAGCCUGAUGCAGCGACGCCGCGUGAGGGAUGACGGCCUUCGGGUUGUAAACCUCUUUCAGCAGGGAAGAAGCCACAAGUGACGGUACCUGCAGAAGAAGCGCCGGCUAACUACGUGCCAGCAGCCGCGGUAAUACGUAGGGCGCAAGCGUUGUCCGGAAUUAUUGGGCGUAAAGAGCUCGUAGGCGGUUUGUCGCGUCUGCUGUGAAAGCCCGGGGCUUAACCCCGGGUGUGCAGUGGGUACGGGCAGACUAGAGUGCAGUAGGGGAGACUGGAAUUCCUGGUGUAGCGGUGGAAUGCGCAGAUAUCAGGAGGAACACCGAUGGCGAAGGCAGGUCUCUGGGCUGUUACUGACGCUGAGGAGCGAAAGCAUGGGGAGCGAACAGGAUUAGAUACCCUGGUAGUCCAUGCCGUAAACGUUGGGCACUAGGUGUGGGGGACAUUCCACGUUUUCCGCGCCGUAGCUAACGCAUUAAGUGCCCCGCCUGGGGAGUACGGCCGCAAGGCUAAAACUCAAAGGAAUUGACGGGGGCCCGCACAAGCGGCGGAGCAUGCGGAUUAAUUCGAUGCAACGCGAAGAACCUUACCAAGGCUUGACAUAUACCGGAUCGUUCCAGAGAUGGUUCUUCCCCUUUGGGGUCGGUAUACAGGUGGUGCAUGGUUGUCGUCAGCUCGUGUCGUGAGAUGUUGGGUUAAGUCCCCGCAACGAGCGCAACCCUCGUUCCAUGUUUGCCAGCACGUGAUGGUGGGGGACUCAUGGGAGACUGCCCGGAUCACUCGGAGAAGGUGGGGAAUGACGUCAAUCAUCAUGCCCCUUAUGUUCCUGGGCUCACGCAUGCUACCAUGCGUUACAAAGGGGUUGCAAAUCUGUAAGUGAAAGCUAUCCAAAAAGGCCGGGUAC